rnacentral:lncRNA from 1 species
GUUGCUUUAUAGUCCUAAUAUUUUAAAGUUUUUACAGUUUCAGAUUAAAUAUCUAUAAUAUAUUUGGUUGAUAAUGUCCUAAAAAUGAAUUUGAUUAUAAUAAUAUGUAAAAUAACAAAAUCAGGAUAAAUUCGUUACACAGUGUUCAAUUGUCCUAAUACGGGAUUUAUCGGGUCAAUAAAAUUCAUAUCGGGUUUGGCUUCGCCUCACCCGAUAUGAACUUUAUUGACCCGAUAAAUUCUCGUAUUAGGACAAUUGCACACUGUGUAACUAAUAUUAUCAUA